UUACUACUUGGAUAACCGUGGUAAUUAUAGAGCUAAUACAUGCUAAAAGCCCCGACUUCGGAAGGGGUGUAUUUAUUAGAUAAAAAACCAAUGCCCUUCGGGGCUCACUGGUGAUUCAUAAUAACUUAACGAAUCGCAUGGCCUUGUGCCGGCGAUGGUUCAUUCAAAUUUCUGCCCUAUCAACUUUCGAUGGUAAGGUCUUGGCUUACCAUGGUUUCAACGGGUAACGGGGAAUUAGGGUUCGAUUCCGGAGAGGGAGCCUGAGAAACGGCUACCACAUCCAAGGAAGGCAGCAGGCGCGCAAAUUACCCAAUCCUGAUACAGGGAGGUAGUGACAAUAAAUACUGAUACAGGGCUCUUUUGGGUCUUGUAAUUGGAAUGAGUACAAUUUAAAUCCCUUAACGAGGAACAAUUGGAGGGCAAGUCUGGUGCCAGCAGCCGCGGUAAUUCCAGCUCCAAUAGCGUAUAUUAAAGUUGUUGCAGUUAAAAAGCUCGUAGUUGAACCUUGGGCCUGGCUGGUCGGUCCGCCUCACCGCGUGCACUGAUCCGGCCGGGCCUUUCCUUCUGGGGAGCCGCAUGCCCUUCACUGGGUGUGUCGGGGAACCAGGACUUUUACUUUGAAAAAAUUAGAGUGUUCAAAGCAGGCCUAUGCUCGAAUACAUUAGCAUGGAAUAAUAGAAUAGGACGUGUGGUUCUAUUUUGUUGGUUUCUAGGACCGCCGUAAUGAUUAAUAGGGAUAGUCGGGGGCAUCAGUAUUCCGUUGUCAGAGGUGAAAUUCUUGGAUUUACGGAAGACUAACUACUGCGAAAGCAUUUGCCAAGGAUGUUUUCAUUAAUCAGUGAACGAAAGUUAGGGGAUCGAAGACGAUCAGAUACCGU
rnacentral:rRNA from 1 species